AUUAGGUUGGUGUAUUAAAACACAUUAGGGUGUGGACUUAAAAUAGAAUUGCGUAUUCACCUAAUA
rnacentral:tRNA from 1 species